rnacentral:lncRNA from 1 species
AUGUACCUGGAAAUAAAGGCUUCCUUAUCUCCUCAUCUGUCAAGUUUCCCUUUAUUACAACAAGGCAGUUCCUGUAACAAUGACUACAGGGAAUUUAAGUCUCUUUCAAAAGAGGGGUUCAAUAAAAGACAGUCAUUUUAUUCUGACUUAAGAACAUUUAAUUAUCUCUACUGUCUUGAUCAUUUGCAUAUUUUACCCAUAAUGCACUAUAACACAUUUUCCUUUAAAAUUAUCAGGACCUAUAGAUGUUUCAUUUUUAUCCUUGUGGCUACCAUUGAGCAAAGUGAUGGACAGAUUGAGAAAGUACUGCAAUUACUGUUUCAGUCAUAUCCAACAGAAUAUAUAAAUGUUAGGAAAGAAUGGAGGGCAGGAGAUUUCAACUUGUCUUAUCUGAUUCUCUUUUUUUUUUCCAUUCUCCAAAUCUGUCAGUGACUGUAAUAGCAUUGAUACAAUCUCUGCGCUACUUGUCUACCAUGACUUACACAUUUUAAGUUUAAACUAAUUUUCCUUUUUGUAUGUAUCUCAUAUUUCCUAAAGCAAUGGACUAGUAAGCAUAAAAGUGUACACCAUGAAAUGGGUAGGUAGUUCCUCCCUCAUAAACAUCUUGAAAUACAGAACAAAUAAAUAAACAAAAGCAAAAAGAAACAAACAAACGUCUACUGCUGUGACAUUGUUAUAGCCACGAUAAUGGGAAUUUAUAAACAUAGUGUACUUUGCAUCACAUUAUGUUCAGAAUAAGAAAAUCACUUUAAGUAGGUUUUGAUUAAUGAGACACUCAAGAGGUUAAUUGAAAAAAAAUUUGACCUGGCUUUUCUUCUAAAGGCUAAUUAUAAAGUUUAUCUAACUCAAUUUACAACCUUAGAAAAUAUCCUAGUUUCAGAGCUCUAGUUCUUUCACUACUUUUUACUCCUGAUGAUGAUGAUGGAGAUGAUGAUGAUUAACUUUUAGGAUGAUGGGACUUUUGCUCAGGGUCAAUAUUCUAGACUUGAAUUAUGAUGAAAAACAUAUAAAAAGACUCCAUCAUUAUAAGCAGAACUCUAACAGCACUAUAUUUUAUUAUUAACAACUGACUAUGCAGUUCGUUAGCAUGUGAGAGAAGCAUAGCUGACACUUUUACAAAUAAAAUAGCUCAUUUUUUCCAAAUAUAUCAAAGAAUUCCACAUAACUGACAUUCUCUACAUAAACCUAUUUGACUUAUAGAAGGGUGGACU